rnacentral:RNase_P_RNA from 1 species
UGAGUAAGUUGGACAGUCGCGUGCAAUAAUAUUGCAUGAGGAAAGUCCGAGCACCACAGGGCAAGAAUGCCGGGUAACGCCCGGCGAAGGCGACUUCAGGGAUAGUGCAACAGAAAUAAACCACCGGUCAGAAGUCUUUUUGCCUACGGCAAAAACCGCUUCGCUGACCGGAAAGGGUGGAAAGGUGCGGUAAGAGCGCACCGCUUUUCCGGCAACGGAAAAGGUCUAUGUAAACCCCAUUCGGUGCAAGACCAAAUAAAGCAAACGGGCUGCCCGCCCCGCUUUGGUAGCGUCGCUUCAGCAGAACGGCAACGUACUGCGCAGAUAGAUGACUGUCCACGACAGAACUCGGCUUACAGACUUGCUCAUUCA